rnacentral:rRNA from 1 species
ACCGGCGGCUCGAGUGGUAACCGUUAUUAUUGGGUCUAAAGGGUCUGUAGCCGGCCGGAUAAGUCUCUUGUGAAAUCCCGCAGCUUGACUGUCAGGCUUUCAGGAGAUACUGUCUGGCUCGAGGCCGGGAGAGGUGAGAGGUACUCCAGGGGUAGGGGUGAAAUCCGGUAAUCCUUGGAGGACCACCGGUGGCGAAGGCGGCUCACCAGAACGGACCUGACGGUGAGGUACGAAAGUUAGGGGCACGAACCG